rnacentral:rRNA from 2 species
CCUGGUGUCUCUAGCGAAGUGGACACACCCGAUCCCAUCCCGAACUCGGUAGUUAAGCACUUCAGCGCCGAUGGUAGCCUUCAGUGGCAAGAGUAGGUCGGUGCCAGGA